GGACGAGAACAAUCUCGGGAAACUGAGGCUAAUUCUCGAUAGAUCAAGAUUCCUGGAAUGGGUUUUGGUCCAAAGGCGACGACGGCAUCUUGUCGUUAUCGCCCAAGGAUGGGACUGCGGCCGAUCAGGCUGUUGGUGGGGUAAAGGCCCACCAAACCAGUAACCGGUACGGGCUUUGAGAGAAGGAGCCCGGAGAUGGACACUGAGACAAGGGUCCAGGUCCUACGGGGCGCAGCAGGCGCGAAACCUUCGCAAUGCGCGCAAGCGCGACGAGGUUAUUCCGAGUGAUUUCCGCUGAGGAAAUCUUUUCUCAGAUCUAAAUAGUCUGGGGAAUAAGGGGAGGGCAAGUCUGGUGUCAGCCGCCGCGGUAAUACCAGCUCCUCGAGUGGUCAGGGCGUUUAUUGGGCCUAAAGCAUCCGUAGCCGGCUCAGUUGGUCUCCUGUUAAAUCCAACGGCUUAACCGUUGGUCUGCAGGAGAUACCGCUGGGCUAGGAGGCGGGAGAGGCGGACGGUACUCCGAGGGUAGGGGUAAAAUCCUUUGAUCCCCGGAAGACCACCAGUGGCGAAGGCGGUCCGCCAGAACGCGCUCGACGGUGAGGGAUGAAAGCUGGGGGAGCGAACCGAAUUAGAUACCCGGGUAGUCCCAGCUGUAAACGAUGCGAGCUAGGUGACACGACGCCUUCGGGGCAUCGUGGUGCCGCAGGGAAGCCGUUAAGCUCGCCGCCUGGGGAGUACGGA
rnacentral:rRNA from 1 species